rnacentral:rRNA from 1 species
GAUGAACGCCGACAGAAUGCUUAACACAUGCCAGUCUACUUGAUUCUACUUCGGUAGUUGAUGGUGGCGGACGGGUGAGUAACGCGUAAAGAAUCUGCCCUUUAGUUUGGGAUAACCUUUGGAAACGAAGGCUAAUACCGGAUAUUAUGGAGACGUCGCAUGGCGACUCCAUGAAAGCUAUAUGCGCUAGAGGAGGACUUUGCGUCCCAUUAGUUAGUUGGUGAGGUAAUGGCUCAACAAGACCGCGAUGGGUAGCCGGCCUGAGAGGGUGAUCGGCCACAAGGGAACUGAGACACGGUCCUUACUCCUACGGGAGGCAGCAGUGGGGAAUAUUGGACAAUGGGCCACAAGCCUGAUCCAGCAAUUCUGUGUGCACGAUGAAGGUCUUCGGAUUGUAAAGUGCUUUCAGUAGGGAAGAAAAAAAUGACGGUACCUACAGAAGAAGCGACGGCUAAAUAUGUGCCAGCAGCCGCCGUAA